UGUAGCCAUGUCAAAUUCAGUGCCCACACUACUGAUGACAGGCACUGACCCAAGAGGCUGCCAUAGAAAUAUUGUGAUUCACAGGCCCUGUACCCCUUGCCUCGGCUCAGGGAUAAAUUUGGUCACAGGCACCA
ensembl:snoRNA